rnacentral:rRNA from 1 species
UGAAUACGAGAUGCUACGGCGUCGAAGCAGUCUAUGUCAUACUUCCAAGAAAAGCUUGCACUGUCAUAAACAAAUAAUGCCUGUACCAUAACCGACACAGGUGGGUAGGUAGAGUAUACUAAGGGGCGCGAGAUAACUCUCUCUAAGGAACUCGGCAAAAUGACUCCGUAACUUCGGGAGAAGGUGUGCCUUAUUUAUAAGGUUGCAAUAACAAGGUCCAAGCAACUGUUUACCAAAAACACAGGUCUCCGCUAAGUCGUAAGACGAUGUAUGGGGGCUGACGCCUGCCCAGUGCCAGAAGGUUAAAGAAGUUGGUUAGCAUCCGCGAAGCUGAUAACUGAAGCCCUGGUGAACGGCGGCCGUAACAAUAACGGUCCUAAGGUAGCGAAAUUCCUUGUCGGGUAAGUUCCGACCCGCACGAAAGGCGUAAUGAUUUGGAUACUGUCUCGGAGAGGGGCUCGGUGAAAUAGACUUGUCUGUGAAGAUGCGGACUACCUGCACCAGGACAGAAAGACCCUAUGAAGCUUUACUGUAACCUGAAAUUGAAAUUGGACUUUACUUGCGCAGUAUAGGUGGGAGGCGUUGAGAAUAUUCUUGCGGGAUUAUUGGAGCCAUCAGUGAGAUACCACUCUUGUAAUGUUAGAUUUCUAACUUUGUAUCAUUAUCUGGUCAAAGAACAGUUUCAGGCGGGCAGUUUGACUGGGGCGGUCGCCUCCUAAACGGUAACGGAGGCGCACAAAGGUUUCCUCUGAACGGGUAGAAAUCGUAUCUAGAGUGUAAAGGCAUAAGGAAGCUUGACUGUGAGACCUACAAGUCGAGCAGGGACGAAAGUCGGUCUUAGUGAUCUGACGGUGCUGAGUGGAAAGGCCGUCACUCAACGGAUAAAAGUUACUCUAGGAUAACAGGCUGAUCUCCCCCAAGAGUUCACAUCGACGGGGAGGUUUGGCACCUCGAUGUCGGCUCAUCGCAUCCUGGGGCGGUAGUACGUCCCAAGGGUUGGGCUGUUCGCCCAUGAAAGCGGUACGCGAGCUGGGUUCAGAACGUCGUGAGACAGUUCGGUCCAUAUCCGGUGUAGGCGUUAGAAUAUUGAGAGGAGCCUUCUUUAGUACGAGAGGACCGAGAAGGACAUACCUCUGGUGUACCAGUUAUCGUGCCAACGGUAAACGCUGGGUAGCUAUGUGUGGAGUGGAUAACCGCUGAAAGCAUCUAAGUGGGAAGCCCACCUCAAGAUAAG